UCGAGGAUCUUUAGCAAUGGGGGAAACCCUGACUAUGCUACGCCGCGUGAGGGAUGAAGGUUUUCGGAUCGUAAACCUCUUUCGAUGGGGAAGAAGUCUUUUACUCUAACAUAGUGAAAGAUUGACGGUACCUAGAGAAGAAGCCACGGCCAACUCCGUGCCAGCAGCCGCGGUAAUACGGGGGUGGCGAGCGUUACUCGGAUUCAUUGGGUGUAAAGGGCAGGUAGGUGGCUAUGUAAGUUGUAGGUGAAAUCCUUUGGCUCAACCAAAGAACUGCCUUCAAAACUGCAUAGCUUGAGGCUAAUAGAGGAGAGCGGAAUUCCCGGUGUAAGGGUGAAAUCUGUAGAUAUCGGGAGGAACACCAGUGGCGAAAGCGGCUCUCUAGAUUAGUCCUGACACUAAACUGCGAAAGCUAGGGGAGCAAACAGG
rnacentral:rRNA from 1 species